UGUCCUGAAGACUUAGAGAUGUAUCCAUUUUAUCGACUGAUGUGUUUGCAAAGUGGUACAGAAAAAUUUACAUGCCUUAGGGUAUGGAAAACAUGCAUUAUUAAUAGUAUUUUAAAAGGCUCUCUAACUUCAUUGUUGCCAGAUGGGAUGAGAAGAUAAGUAUCCUGCACCGCAAAUGGCCUCCUGUUUGACCUUUAUUGUUAGCUAGUCUGGAGUCAGUUUUGGUGGAUGAAGGUUGAUGACUCUAAGAUGUUUGACAGAAUCAAAUCAUCUGAUGAAGCUUCUGCUUCUUCAGCACAAGGAGUCAAAAGACAUGGUGUUGAAGGCUCUCUACAACAGGACAGCACUAGCAGUUCACACACAGGAGAGCAAGAACAUACUCAGCCUGGAGUAUCCACUGUGCAAAACAGACAAGGAUACUGCAACUGCUGCCGUGUACACUACAGCAAUCUGGAACAGGUGAGAAGGUUUCUGCAUAAUUCAGCAACAGCUAGCAAAGAGUAC
rnacentral:lncRNA from 1 species